CCUAACCCUAAUCAUUUCUCCUUCAGUCGUUUCUCUAUCUUACCUCUCUCUCUCCUUUGUAAGAUGCUUCUCCUACAUCAGAGAUCUACCUUUUUUUUCUACUGAUCACCUCAUCGCAAUGUACUAGCUAUUUGGAGGUUCGAUUUAUGUUGAUUGACUUCGAUUUAUAUGGGGUAAAAUCAUUGCAGACUACCUCCUGAUCCUGUUCUUCAUCAUUUGAAGGUUUUUCCCACCUUUAAUGAAGAGCUCUUCAAGGAAAUCACUCAGCUACUAACACCGGAGAUCACCGUUUGAGAAAAUGCAAGUUGAGAGAGUUGCUUCUAUUGAAUUGGGUGCUCCGGCAGAACCGAUAGAAGCUCGUGUGUGAUCCCGCGUUACAGACCACGUGAUACAUGCCAUGUUUUUGGAGUCACACAUGGUGGUGUAAUUCAAGCCAUUGCACAUAACAGGGAUCAAACGUUUGUAGAAUGAAAAAUCAGCCUCAUGAUGUGCUACCGAAAAGAGAAUUUUAUUUCUGCUCUGCCCAAACAUUACGUCAAUGUCCUUUCUCACCCCGUGAACUUAGGAAUUGAUCGUGCCACAACAUCUAUGAAAGUGAUGUCAUUUCUAGGUUCAAAAACAAGUCCACUGUUACAAGUUCAACAUGAUAAAAAAUCCACCACUCUAGCAAUUCUUGGAGAAAAUAGGACAACUCUAGCAUCUCUGCUUUGAAAAGAACAAACAGAGCUCAAUAUACACGCCUCUUAAAUUCGACGAAGUCAGACCUUGAUUAUAUAUUUCAAAAGCCAAGGUUGGUUGACUAGCUGCUGCAGUUGUUUAUGUUGCUUGUGGAGUCGGAUCAUUCGGAAUUCAGUUUGCAAAACAUGUGUUUGGUGCUUUAGAAGUAGCAGCCACAUCUAGCUUAGGAAAACUCGAGUUGCUUACAAGUUCACGCGCUGAUGGGUCAUAAUGGGUCAGAAUUGCCACCUCAAGAGUUACAAGACUAGAUGGCCUCAAAGUUGUUAUUCUAGAUAGUGAUGGUAAUCUUUCAAAUACAACAUCAAAUGUUGUAUACAAAGAAGUUUUUAGAAAUUUGUAAUGUAUGUUUAUAUUUUUUUUUUUUGUACAUCUUUCAUGUCAAAUUAUUUAGUUUGUUAUU